CAACGCCCGCCCCAAAGCCUCUUAAGCUCCUCCGGGGGCUGCCGGGAGCUACGAAGGCGCUCUGCGCAGUCCCUCGCCGGGACGCGAUGAAGGAGGUUGUGUGAUGCUGUUCCUCUGCCCGAGGCGCUGCUGGGGCUGCUUGGAAGCCGAAACCUCGGGGUUCUGUUUAACGUUGUCUGUUGCGUUUGGUUCUUUUAUUCAGGCUGCAGGAGGGCGUCGGGAUCCGCCCCGGCCGGUGAGCCGUACCGAUAGCGAUGGAGGUGGUGAGCGCUCGGCGGUCCUUGGGGGGCUUUCCGCCUGGGGUGAGAGGCUGCCGGGCCCUCACCGUGCUCUUUUUGGGGCCGGCGUAGAGCUACCGCUGGGCUCCCUCGACUUUUCAGAGCCGGGAUUGCAGCGCUGCCUGCUUUCUGUUGUAUUUGGUUUGCUUUUUUUCCCCCCUCAACUUUUUUUUUUUUUAGGGAGUGCUUCAGUUCUUCAGUUCAUUCUGCUCUCAUCAGCGGGAGUGAGCGAGAUGGGGCUGUGCUUCUGCAGCCUCAGCACUGCUGGGAGAGAGGAGCAACACGAAGGGCUGCUAAAACCAGGUGUUUCCCUAUUGCGGCUGGAGCUGCAGCAGGGCCUCUCUUCAUCCCAAACCGGCGAGGUUGUGGAAGUGUUGAGAGUUUGGGAGUCAGUAGAAGGACAAUCCAGCAGGGUGAUGGAGUUGCUUUUCAGGUGAGAGAGCUGGAAAGGAUUGAGCCCUGCCUAGGGAUGAAUGAACAACUAGAGGAGUGCUUGUGAGCUGUGACUGCUGAGGAUGCUCCUUGACGAUCCUGGAUCCCAGAGGAAAGCGUCUUUGAGGAAGGAUGCCUUCCUGAUCGCAGAGGAGGCGGCAAAGAUCACGUGGACAAAAUUAGUGCCCCCCAGGAAAGUUGUGUGAGGACGGGAGGAUAGCCAGCAUCACGGCAGCCUUCAAAAAGGGAACUUGAAGAGUUUGCUAUGAAGCAGUCAAGGUGGAAUCACUGAGGGGAAAUUGUGCUGCUCCAACCUGGGAGCGUCAGGUCAGAGAAGAGCAGGGGAUGCUGCAAGCCUGACUUCAGUGUUUCUGUUGGCGUUUUUGUAAUGAAGCUUAACAAGUGUGAGAUGGUGACCUGGAUGAAGGGAGAGUCUCUAAUGUCGGUGAGUGAGCGGAUGAUGCGAAGCUGGGAGGAGCAGCGACAUUCAGCGGGACCCCAUGAACUGUGGAGAGCAGGUCAAGCGGAUGGGAAAGUUGUACAUGGGGUCCAAUGGAGGGCAAUGAAGAUGAUGAGGGGCCUGGAGCAUCUCUCUGUGGAGGACUGGAUGAGGAAUCUACUUCUGUUUCACCAAGAGAAGGAUGGAGGCUGCAAAGGAGUGUUUGUUUUUUUGGCAAGGAUCUGCCUGAACAUGAGUGGUUUCAUCAGUGGUGGAAUGGAGGAGGUAAGAGCCCUCAGUUGUGUUGUGUAGGUGUGGAGGCUCCUUUGUCAGAGGUUUGGUGCUGGAACAAGGAUUGCUGUGUGACUGCCUCUCCAGAGGGAGGUGUUUUUCCAGUGGAGUGGAAUUGAUGGAGCAUUCAGAAGUGGUGCCUUUUGGUGGAGCUUCACUUGGGCUGUAGCAGAAGAAUUGGAGCUGACUUAACAGGUUGUCUACUUCAGCACUAUGGUGUGUCAGACUUGCUUGACUCACCAAAUGAAACCAGUACUUUUCCAGUGUUUGCAUUGUUGCAGCGGAAUUCCUGGAGAGAAGCGUUGCUUGAGUUUGGAAGGGCUUCUCGAGUGUGAAGGUAGGAGUGCUGUCCUGAGAGCUGAGCGGCGUUGACUCUUGCAAAAAGAUGGUUUCCUUUUUUCAGAUAGGUAAGUCAAACCACUCUCAGCAAACCAAUGGAGAAACCAGAGACUAGUGCAUCUCUAUGGUACCCUUUGGGUUAAGUUAGGAAUCAGAAAGCAGCCUGGGUUGGAAGGAACCUGUGUCUCCAAGCUCUGCACUGCUCUGCCUCAACUUCAGUUGCAUCUCUGUGAGACUCAUCAAAGCCUGGGGAUGACCAGUGUCAAUGACAGUUUGCAUUCUGGUUCUACUCAAUUUUCACAUUUUCAGAUUCAAAGUAACAAUUUCUACACUAGGAGGAACUUAGCUGUGACACCUGGGCACAAAUUACACCUUUGGAGACAAACUUCAAGAUUUGCAAACUUCAAGAUUUGUUUCCUAUAGGUACAGGCCUGAAUCAAACACCCCUUCUGCAUCACGUUGCAGCCUGUUUCCCAAGGUUUCCAGGUGACUCAAACAUUUUUAUCUUCAUUUUUACUGCAGAGUCAGCAGUUAGUUAAUACAUGAACUGAAAUAAAACAAAAAACAACCACCAACUGGAGGGGAAGGUAGAAAACACUCUUGCUGUGAAACAGGCUCCAGGCCAAGAGUGGUUCCCUCUGCUUGGUCCAGUUACAGUUCAGAGGCUCAUUCCUUGGAAGCAAAAUCUUAUAAGUAAACAUGGAGCUGAGCCUCUCUCUGCCCUUUAUCCCCUCCCAUGAAGCCUAUUUUUUUUUAUCCCAUUCAACUCAAAGGCACCCUCAGAACACUGGACUAAAUCUGCCUGUAAUAAAAUAAAUCUAAUUCUGGUCACAUUAAAAUACAUCACAGACCUUCAAAGGAAUAGUGCUAGGCUGCCUAAUGAAAAAUAGAGUGCUUCAAGUGAGAUAAACCAACAUUCUGACCGUAAGCAAGAACAAACUGGGAUCUGGUGUCACAGGAUAUUCCUUCUCUCUGGGUUUUUGCAUAUUAACCAGCAGACAGGUUUGUGGAAGAUGACUUAUUGCUCUCAGUUUUACCACAAGGAAAAUACAUAAUGUUUCUAGCUGAUCGGUAACAUGAAGUUCAACUCUGUCCCAGUACGUUCAUGCAUGGCCUAACAAGUGAAAUUACUUAAAAGAGAGCCCUCAAUGUCAAAAAAGGCUUUACAAAAAUGACUCAGUGAUUUUUCAGCUACUUGCCCUUACUGAGUGCAGAGCCCUCUGUCCCUCUAAGUUUUAGCAGCUCUGUAUGAUUAUUAUUGAAUGGGAACCUCCGUUAUCUCAGUGUUGACUGAGGUACAAAUGCCCAUUGGAGUGACUGAGGGAAAGGGCAGUGAGUGUUUGCUUUGGCUGUUUAGCCAAGCUAGACUUAUGUUAUGCAUCCUGAUUUACAUGUAAUGUGGAGAUGUAACGUGGAUGCCCCAUCCCUGGAGGCGUUCAAGGCCAGGCUGGAUGCGGCUCUGGGCAACCUGGUCUGGUGGUUGGUGACCCCACACAUAGCAGGGGGGUUGGAACUAGAUGAGCAUUGUGGUCCUUUGCAACCCAGACCAUUCUAUGACAAGUGAAUCAAAAAGACUUUAAACAGAGGAAAAUAAAAAAGAGGAAACCGUAGAUGUCACAUACAAACGUCUGAGAAAUAAUCUGAGCAAAAGUUAACAUUUGCUCCUUUUUAUUUUGAGCAAUGUUAAAUAUGGUUUUCCUGCACUUUGCAGUGUCAGCUAACAGCCUGCUAUAUCCUUAGCUCAGCCAUAGCUGGACAAAUCAGUCCCUUUACAGACACCCACACAGUCCAUCUUUCCCCAACCCAUUGGCCACCAGUUCACACACACAAGGAAUCAUCCAGUAGGUACAAUGACCAGUCACCGCUGCAGCUGCUGCUGUGCCUUUGAAGGAAACACAAAGUUACUGCUUGUCUUUCUUCCCCUCCCUCCUUUCUGGAGGCUUCUAGGCUGUAAGCGUGCAGGAGAAAACUGGAACUGCUUAGGCCUCCCCUGCAACAGGUCCGUUUCUGAACAAAGUUAUGAAACCAAGAGAAGAUACGGGCUUCUUCAUCAACUUUUUUAAAACACCAAAGAAAAAUCAUGUUUAAAGGUGAUGCUAUUAGCUGAAGACAACAGAAAAAGGGUGGCAACUUUCCCUAUAGAGAGCUCAAGAUGUGUGUGUCGUCAAUGCUUCCGGGACCCCUCCUGGGCUUCAGCAAGCACGCAGGCCAUGGCUAACAUUUCCAACCCUGAAACCCAGCCCUCCAAGAAAAGAGUAAAUCAAAAUACAUAACGUAGGGUGAUGCAGGGCUACUUCUUUCAUUUCAUCUUCACAGCACAGAGCUCUCUCUGCAAGACAGAUACGCAAGUGUAUUAAGCCCACUGACACCUCUCCAAAAGCUUAUUUGCUGGCUAAUUAGACAGUUGAAAAGAUCAACAGGUCGAUGGAAUUGAGAUAAUGCUAUCCAAUGUAAUUACUACAAUUGCAAUAUUUUAGGAAUUGAAGAACAACUCCGUUCGACCUAUGCCAAAAAGCCUAUAUACAGAAGUCCGUACUUAGGUGGUUAUUUUUCUCUAUCGGUUCAUAAUUGCCUUCUGUUUUUAAUCACAGCUUCUUUCUCCAACUGUUGCAAAGAUGGCACUGUUGUUUUUUCCUGCGUAGCCUGAAGUCCCCAGUGGCUACAGUCCACUUCUCUCCACCGCUGACGUUUAAGGUGCUGACAGCCCCCAAGCGCCCGAGGGAUCCUGCUGUCUUCGGCAAGGUCUCAUUUCAUUUAAUUUCAUAUUUAAAGCUUCCGUGACCUUUUUGAACAUGUAAAUGAUAAAAAUACUUUCACACACGGAUGUAUCGAGCGCCACGUCCACCUAGGCUUGUUAAUAAACCUCGUUGCUCUGUUUCUGCUGGCCCGUGGCUAUAUUAGCUGUCUGCUCGCCUUAUUUGUGAGAUAUAAAUAGCCAGGGACUGCACACUCGCUGUCUAGUUACAUCGAGAUAACAGUGAUUUUAAUACUCUUAAACAAGCCUGUCUCCUGACGCGGGUCUGUCCAGAAUGCUCACUCUUACCUAUCUUCCUUCUUCGUGUUUGAGUGGGAGAUUCGUAAGCAAAAUUUCUCAGCCACCAAACGUGCCAAUAGAAAACAAAAGGGCCACUGAAGGGCGUUUUUGCACUGUUCACACGCUGCUGUUGGAAAGUAAUUCUCCAUACCAUUUCUUAUGUUUGGGCUCAAUAACAUUUCAUACCCGUACCGCACAGUGGUUCUGACCCAGUCACGCUGCAUUGGCUUGAAUCAGAAAGUCCCAGACUCAUCUCAGGGCUAUGCUAUAUCAUUCUUACUGCAAAUUGAAGAUAGCUGGUACUCCCUUCCCAAAAGGCCUCGAGCCUCAACACAGUAAUGCCUUACAGUGAAGUAAAGCAGAGAGAGGCAGAGAACUACACUCAGUAAGGGAUUGAACUAACAACAGAAUUUAAACAGGAUUUAGGUGAGGAUUGGCAUCUAAAUAAACAGUUGUGAGCUAAAGACCCUUGGCUCUCAGGGCAUCUCCUUCUGUGACCGAAAAGGUCUCUAGGGCCGCUGUGAGGGUACAGAGGGAGAACUGCAUCCUGGCUUCCCAGCAUCUAUUUUUCUGCUGAACUAAGUGCACGUGCCCUGUAAGGCACGCCCAGAGCACGCUGGACACCCUGCCUUAGCCCCAGGUCGCGCCACUUGUUCAGGUAUCGUUUGGGUAACUGAUCUUUCAGUGCUAAAUGCCGACUACAGCAUCCUCAGAGAGAAGCUCUCUCUCUUGGAGAAGCUGAUAGCCCUAAGCACUGCAUUACAGAGCACUGAGAGUCCCCCACAGGAACAUGCUGCCCCUGGAGGACGGCUAGUCUAGUCAGGACCUAAUGCAAACCAUGGAAGUACAGGUAUCUGUGGAAUAACAUACCACUUUGGCUGCGUACAAAAUGAGAUACAAUGAGUAAGUUCAUCAAGGACAUUAUAGCCUCUGGAGAAAUCCUUUACAAUAGCUGCGAUGAGUAACAUCUCACUCCAUGACUCUGUUGACUUCCAUCUUCCCCUAUAGUUACAUGGAUUACCCUGGAAGCAAUGCCUCCUCUUUAUUUCUACAGAAACUACAGUGAAUAAAAAGAGCACAAGAACACUAUUUGAUAGUGUUUUGUGGCUGAGAACUUGCUCUGCUUUUCAACAUAGUCACCGCUGCUAGCUAUAGACUUUGUCGCAUGGCUAUAUCUAAGUAUGCACGCAUUAUUACGUACUUGUGAAAACUUUUCCACAUAGCUGUGCUGUAAUUUGCAUUCACAUCUUACAUUUAUAUCCGUAAGAGGACUUCUGCCGGGCACGGGUGAGCACCGUUGGACUAUACAAUGCUUGAUAGCUGGGGGCAACAGUGCAGUGGCAACAACAGAGAAGUGAGGUGCAGCAGCAGCGGAUGCAGAAAAGAAAGAAACUCCUUACCUUUACAAGACCUGUAAAAUCCUCAAGAGGUGCAGAGAGCUCUAGAAGACAGUCUUUCUCCUCCCCCUGCUGGCCCUUAAAUGAGGUCUGGGAAGGGGUGGAUCCUGGCUCCACCCCUUCUAAUUGGCUGCAUUGCGUUCACCUGGGUUGGCCCUGGCUUGGCCCUGCCUUCCACCAGGUGCUCAAUCACUGCUUCGGACCGUGACUUGAUGUCUCUUAUGCAGACAUCAAUAAAAUCUCUGACUUGAUUUUUGGCUACGUAAGGAACUGUACGUCAGAGUCGUGGUUUUCUUCCAGUUCCUCUCUACUGAGUUCACUGCUUCUUCUUUACUUGUUAUUCAGUGCUUGCUGUCUUCCCAUCAGCAGCCGUCCACCUUCGAAGCGAUUGGUGUCAGAUGUCAUUUCUCAUGGCCGGUUUCCCUGGCUUUCGCUAAUGCAAACUGAUGUACAACAUUUGCACUUUGGAGCGGUUCGAAGCAGUGAUUUCCAUUUUCAUACCCUCGUGCGCUUCGUUCAGUUAUUUCUUCUGCAGUACUUGUUGCCCUCCUCGCACUGAAAAAAAAAGUGAAGCAGAACUUCGAUUAGGUCUAUGCGAGUUAUCCUCCAGCCUGUAAAAUAGCCUUCCUGCACCAUAAUCCAUUUUCUUUGCUUCUGAUAGCUACCUGUCCAAACAAGUCCUUGCUGUUUGUAUUAAAGUCCGUGCCCACGUGCCCAAUGCUUUCUGAAAAAUGACUUCCGUUCUCAUUUUGUUUCCUUACAUAAAAGCGCCUAGGAUCCAUUCCUCAAAAGCUAUGCUUUUUCUCCAUGCUACUUACUAACAUAAUGCUCCUCCCGG
rnacentral:lncRNA from 1 species